rnacentral:rRNA from 1 species
AUGGCGGUGGGGGAGGCGCUGCGGCGGCUCUGCGAGGAGGUCGGGUGGUCUUACGCCGUCUUCUGGAAGGCCAUCGGCGCUGCUGACCCCGUGCAUCUAGUGUGGGAGGAUGGCUACUGUGGCCACGCAUCUUGUCCAACUGGAUCUGAGGCUUCUGAGGUUGGCUGUGAAUCAGGUGGCACUGUGUGCGCCCUAGUUAGGAAGGUUAUGGCAUCGCAGGUUCAUAUUGUUGGAGAAGGAUGCUACAUUUUCUGUUUUUUCAGUACCAUCGGCCGUGCUGCUUUUACUGGGAGUCAUCAGUGGAUUAUCCAUGAUACUACCAAUGAUCACAGGCUCAGAUCCGAGGUUGCUGCGGAGAUGAAUCAUCAGUUCAGAGCUGGCAUUCAGACUAUUGCAAUAAUUCCUGUGUUACCACGUGGUGUACUACAGCUAGGCUCUACUAGUGUGGUUAUGGAAAAUACAACUUAUGUGCUUCAGUAUAAGAAGCUGUGUUCUCAGUUAAACAAUCGAUCAAGUAUGGUUGCAUCUACUUCAGCUAAAAAUGAUUCUAGCCAGAAGGUCCAAUCACGCUCUUCACAUGGUCUUCUGAGUGUCUACCCUACAGAUGGUUGCUCAAAAGCCUUCAGUGGUUCUCCAGCGACUUAUGAACAGUGCUAUAUUCCUGAUGCGACAGCAGUCUCAAGUAGUGCAUCAGUAAACAUAGGAAGAAAAGCUUCCUUGCUUAAGGUGGCACAGAGAAAUGGUGAAGCUAUCAGAGACCACAGUUUAUAUGCUCCUGAUGUGAGGUUCAGACGACAAACUCCUUACUGUGACAGGAGAGUUGAAAGCACCACACAAAGCAGUGUGGUUAACUCAGAUUUUCUCUCUUCUACCUCAACAUCAGCAGAAAAGCAUCCACUGUUGAUGAAUGAUGGACAAUUGGGAAUGGGAAACAUGGAAGAGGCGUCUGAUACCAGAAAUCUUCUGCUAAAAUCUCUUGCAUUCCGGAACCUGCCUCCAUCGCAUGGAGGGGGUGAGGUGUUAGAUUUUCUAAACAGUCAUGGAAACUUUGAUUUUCUUCCUGAAGGUAAUAGCAUAGUCAAGUCUAACUUGUAUGACUGCUCAGCAAGUCAACUAUUAGACCAAAGAUGUAACUCUACUUCUGGGAUGAUAGGGCACAAACCGGCUAUUUCAUAUAAAACCCCCCAAUCUGCUCAAUUCAUUAUGAAAAUGGGGAGUCCCAAAAGAGACUCAUGUCAUGCUGUUGCAGCUCCAUCCACUGGCUCUGAAGUUCAAACUUCUAGUGAAUUUAAAACAGACUUUUCUCAAGAUAAUCAAGUGGAUAUUUCGGAUCGUGUUUGCCAAAACAGAAAGGCUAAAGAAGUAAAUGACUCCAGUUUUGCUGUAAGAAUACAAGGUUUGAAGAAUAUGGAUCGGCAGAAGCUCCCAGACAUUUCAAGUGAGCGAUCUUCCUCACUUCGUGUGGAUCCAACUGCAGGAAAUGAUUUGUUUGAUAUAUUUGGUGCUGAAUUUCCUCAUCUGUGCCGCAAUGUGGAUGGCGACUCGACCUGGAACACUGCAAAACCAGCUAGCUCAGGAAAAGAUGCACUUGAAUCCUCAGUUUAUCUCGAUACCUCUCCAGUCUUUGGUGCACUGGAAGAUGAGUUCCCCUUUUCUGGAAUCUUCUCACUAACUGAUAGUGACCAAUUAUUGGACGCAGUUAUCUCCAGUGUCAAUCCUGGUGGCAAGCAGAUCUCUGGUGACAGUGCGUCUUGCAGGACUUCAUUGACAGACAUGCCUAGCAGCUCUUAUUGUGGCUCAAAAGUGAUGAAGCAACAUGAAUCAUCUGGUGCUCCUCCUUUGCUAGUCAAGGAUGAGUUGGCUGUAUCAAAUUUUGUUAAACAACCAAGUUUCCUAGAGAAGACCGAGGAUUGUUGUCUUUCCCAAAACAAUGGAAUGCACAAAUCUCAGUUACGCCUUUGGAUCGAGAGUGGACAUAACAUGAAGUGUGAAAGCGUGUCAGCCUCAAACAGCAAAGGUCAUGAUACACCAAACAAGGCAAAUCGAAAGAGAUCUCGACCAGGAGAGAGUUCUAAGCCCCGGCCAAAAGACCGUCAGCUUAUUCAGGAUCGUAUAAAGGAGCUCCGGGAACUUGUACCUAAUGGUGCAAAGUGUAGCAUUGAUGCUUUACUGGAAAAGACCAUCAAGCACAUGGUUUUCUUGCAGAGUGUGACAAAGCAUGCUGACAAUCUCAAAGAUUCUAAUGAAUCUAAGAUACUUAGCGGUGACAAUGGUCCUCUUUGGAAAGACUACUUUGAGGGUGGUGCAACAUGGGCCUUCAACGUCGGCAGCCAAUCUAUGACAUGCCCAAUCAUAGUUGAGGAUCUCGACCGGCCUCGUCAGAUGCUUGUGGAGAUGAUUUGUGAUGACAGAGGUAUCUUCCUGGAAAUAGCCGACUUUAUCAAAGGUCUUGGACUAACCAUCUUGAGGGGUGUGAUGGAAGCACGCAAAAAUAAAAUCUGGGCACGAUUCACUGUUGAGGCCAACAGGGACGUGACUAGAAUGGAGAUUUUCCUCUCACUUGUGCGCUUGUUGGAACCCAGUUGUGAUGGCAGUGGAUCAGGAGAGAAUCAAGAAAAUGGAAAAAUGCCUCUUGGGAUUGCGCAGCACCAGAUUAUCCCAGCGACAGGCCACCUUAGAUGA